rnacentral:rRNA from 1 species
GAUGAACGCUGACAGAAUGCUUAACACAUGCAAGUCGAUGGGGAAGUGGUGCUUGCACCAUGGUAACCAUGGCGGACGGGUGAGUAACGCGUAAGGGACUUACCUGCAGGACUGGGAUAACAGGGGGAAACUCCUGACAAGACCGGAUAAUGUCAUGGAGCUGCAUGGCUCUGUGAUUAAAGGAGACGCCUGCGGAGAGCCUUGCGUCCUAUUAGCUAGUUGGUGAGGUAAUGGCUCACCAAGGCGAAGAUAGGUAGCCGGCCUGAGAGGGUGGACGGCCACAAGGGGACUGAGAUACGGCCCUUACUCCUACGGGAGGCAGCAGUGGGGAAUAUUGGACAAUGGGGGCAACCCUGAUCCAGCAAUUCUGUGUGCACGAAGAAGGUUUUCGGAUUGUAAAGUGCUUUCAGCAGGGAAGAAGAAAGUGACGGUACCUGCAGAAGAAGCGACGGCUAAAUACGUGCCAGCAGCCGCGGUAAUACGUAUGUCGCGAGCGUUAUCCGGAAUUAUUGGGCAUAAAGGGCAUCUAGGCGGCCUGACAAGUCAGGGGUGAAAACCUGCGGCUCAACCGCAGGCCUGCCUUUGAAACUGUGAGGCUGGAGUACCGGAGAGGUGGACGGAACUGCACGAGUAGAGGUGAAAUUCGUAGAUAUGUGCAGGAAUGCCGAUGAUGAAGAUAGUUCACUGGACGGUAACUGACGCUGAAGUGCGAAAGCCGGGGGAGCGAACA